AGAGUUUGAUCCUGGCUCAGAACGAACGCUGGCGGCAGGCCUAACACAUGCAAGUCGAACGCUCCGCAAGGGGAGUGGCAGACGGGUGAGUAACACGUGGGAAUCUUCCUAUUGGUAUGGAAUAGCUCAGGGAAACUUGGGGUAAUACCGUAUAAGCCCGAGAGGGGAAAGAUUUAUCGCCAAUAGAUGAGCCCGCGUCUGAUUAGCUAGUUGGUGAGGUAAUGGCUCACCAAGGCGACGAUCAGUAGCUGGUCUGAGAGGAUGAUCAGCCACACUGGGACUGAGACACGGCCCAGACUCCUACGGGAGGCAGCAGUGGGGAAUAUUGGACAAUGGGCGCAAGCCUGAUCCAGCCAUGCCGCGUGAGUGACGAAGGUCUUCGGAUUGUAAAGCUCUUUUGGCGGGGACGAUAAUGACGGUACCCGCAGAAUAAGCCCCGGCUAACUUCGUGCCAGCAGCCGCGGUAAUACGAAGGGGGCUAGCGUUGUUCGGAAUCACUGGGCGUAAAGCGCACGUAGGCGGAUUUGUUAGUCAGGGGUGAAAUCCCGGGGCUCAACCUCGGAACUGCCUCUGAUACUGCAGAUCUCGAGUCCGAUAGAGGUGAGUGGAAUUCCUAGUGUAGAGGUGAAAUUCGUAGAUAUUAGGAAGAACACCAGUGGCGAAGGCGGCUCACUGGAUCGGUACUGACGCUGAGGUGCGAAAGCGUGGGGAGCAAACAGAAUUAGAUACCCUGGUAGUCC
rnacentral:rRNA from 1 species